GACAGAGGGUGCAAACGUUGUUCGGAAUUACUGGGCGUAAAGCGCGUGUAGGCUGCUCGGAAAGUCGGAUGUGAAAGCCCUGGGCUCAACCCAGGAAGUGCAUUCGAAACUUCCGAGCUGGAGUUCUGGAGGGGAAGGCGGAAUUCUCGGUGUAGAGGUGAAAUUCGUAGAUAUCGAGAGGAACACCGGUGGCGAAGGCGGCCUUCUGGACAGUGACUGACGCUGAGACGCGAAAGCGUGGGGAGCAAACAGG
rnacentral:rRNA from 1 species